ACGCACCGACUGACAGACAGACGCACCGACAGACAGACAGACGCACCGACAGACACACCGCCCGAUGGCCGCGCCGACAGCCGGCCCGGCCCCCGAGCGCGAUGCAGCGGGGCCGGUCGGUACCGGGGCGGUGCGGAGGUUUCUCUUUCCUUCGCGCUUUGCUGCCCGUCGGGAGCCGCCGCUCCGGGGAGGUGUCACCGCCUGGCCCGGCCCGGCCCGGCCCCAGAGCCCGCCCUGUCCCUGUCGCUGUCCCUGGGGGCUGAGCCCGGCGGGGAAUGGGGAGGGGAAGGCGCUGGAAGGGUCCGAGCGUGCCCGGGGCUCCACGGGGGUGGCGGAGCCGCAGCAUCCCCCGCCCGUGCCCACCGCCCUCGCUCUCUCACCUCUGCUUUCCUCGCCUUUGAUGGGGUUAAAAAAACCCCAAAAAACCCAAACAACAACAACAAAAAUAAAUUUUAAAAAAUUCAAAAACACAGGGAAGGCAUAAAUUGGAAUUCAGGGAGAAAAAGGAAAGCAGCGCACCCGCUCCUCGCCGGGGACCGGCGGGGCUGCAGAGCCGGGAGAGGCGGCUCCAGGGCUGUCCCCGGGCCCAGACACGGCCCCGCAGCUCCUGCGGCUGUGUCCCAGCCCCGGGCUCCCCUCCCUGCCCUGUCGGGACAGCUGUGGCUCCGUGCCGGGAUCGAUGGGGCCGGGAUCGCCCCACAUGGGCGCUUCUCAUGCGGGGAGGGCGGCCCCGCUCCCCGCCCCGGGAGCGACAGCUGCCCGCGGCCCCGGUGCCAUGUGUCGGGGGAUGAAUGAGGGGAAGGAGAUGAGCAUCUCGUGUCCAUCAAGCACCACUUUUUCACAGCGAUUUUUUUUUUUUUUCCUUUCCCAGGCGUUAGCGAAAGCAUCUGGUGGUGCCCCGCUCCCCGGGGGGCUCAGGCCGUGCCCGGCCCCUCCCCUGGGGUUUGGGGCUCCCCAUCCGAACCCCCAGAGCUCGGGGAAGGAGCAGCACGGACCGAGGGGCAGUGGGGACAGUGGGGACAGUGGGGACAGUGGGGACACUGCCCCCUCUCCUCAACCCCCUCCCAGAGCAGGGAUUUGAGAGGCCAAAAUGCCCUCGCUUGGCUCCUGCAGGAUCCGAAAAUCAAACCCCAGCACGGCCGGGCUGCCCCAGCCUCCCGCACCCCCCGGGAGCCGAGGGGAGGGGGAACAGCCCCGAGGAAGCAGCAGCCGGGUGCUGGGGACAGGGGGGAUUUUUUUGUUUUUUACUUUAUUUUGCGGUUUUCCCGGGUGGAGGCCCCGGCCCCAGGCGGGUCCGAACCCACCCGAACCCCGCGGGGAUCCGGGAUGUUCCAGAGCAACCCCGGCCGGCCCCGAGGCUGGAAAGGAGGGACAUCAAGAGAGUAAAAAAGGAAAAAAAAUAAAGAAAGAAAAGAGGGAAAUCAGGGGAUGUUUUAAAAAGGGAAAUUUAAAAACCAAACCAAAACAAAAGGAUGGAAAUUAAAAGAGGAAAAACAAAAUUUUAAAACUAGAGAGUGUAAGUAAAAUAGUGACAGAGACGCAAAUAAAGAGAGAGGCAAAAUAAAAGGAUUUAACAAAAGAAAACGCCAAAGAAACUCAAACUCAAAUUAAUUUAAAAUCCAAUACCAAAAAAAUAAACCAAGACCCUUUCAGGCGAGUUUAAAUUUACAUUUUAUGGGUGUCGUUCCCAUCUUUUCAGUUAAACAUCGCGCUGUUUCUCAUCCCCUUUCGCCACCGCAGUGCUCAGGAAUGGGAUUUCUCUCUCUUUUACGGGGUCCCGGUGCUGCACAGCCCCUGAGCCCCUCGCUGGGACCGCCGCGGUUCUGGAGCAUCCCCGCAUCCCCAGCCGAGCCAAAACUUCCCUCCCACGCACCGCAGGCAUUUCCACCGCAUCCUUCCCCCGACAGCACUAAGUUUUCCCUCUUUCCCCAUUUAUUUUGAAUUUGAUUUUAUUUUUUCCCUCCUUUUUAAACCUCUCUCCACGGGCUCGCUCGGGCUGGGGGAGGUGUCGGGCUCGGCUGCCCCGACGGGGCGGGGGGAGCCCCGAACUCGGCUCCGAUCCCUGCGCUCCCCGGGGCUCCGGGGGUCUCUCCCGGCGCUGUCUCGGAGCUGUGGGGGCACAGCCCGCAGAGAAGGUGGGGGUCACACCUCUCCCCCGUCCCCAGCACUUCCCCCCGCAGAAAGAGCGCCUCCGCCUGAUUAAAUAUCCAUGCGCUUAAUGCACUGUCCAAAUAUUGAAGUUAAGAUGUAAUUAAGCCUGUAGAACAUCCCCGCGCAAUAAACCCCAUGGCUGGACAGGAUCCAUCCCCAGGUUUGUUUUAAAAGAGCUGGGGGGAAAAAAAAAGAAAAAAAAAGAAAGAAGAAGGAGAAGAAGAUCUUUAAAUUAUGUAUUAGAAAGUCCCAGUUUAUCCUGCCACACUCGGGUCGAUGCUGAGGGUAAACACCACACCGGCUCCGCUCGCCUUUCCCUUUCCUUCCCUUUCUUUUCUAUUUAUUUUCCUUUUCCUUAUUUAUUUUCCUGCCCCCCUCCCCCGUGAUUAGCCCUCCCGGGUUUCUCCCCACGUCGCUAAAUGUUGUCGCUUACACCGCGAGCUCAUGCAUUGUUUAUGGGAAAUACGGUUAAUAAAUAAUUACAAAUCCGAGGUGCGCGUUCUGCCUCUGAGUGACGGGAAAGUGUCCGGGAAGGGCCGGGGCACGGAUCCUUCCCUCGCUAAAGGGCACAUAAAAGGCGAAUAAAAGAGAAAAGAAAGAAAAGUGGAGAGGCAGAGGGGGCGAGGGGGGGCUAUAAAAAAAGAGGGUGAAGCGAACCCCCGGAGGAUGCUCCGCUCCCGGCUCAUCCAUCUUCAUUGUCUCCGUGUGUGCAAAAGCAACUCCGGUCUAAGGAAAAGCCACUAUCAAAGCCAUGGCUUUAUUUUAUAUCCUAUAGAUCAGGAGGGAGGCAAAGCUUUAUUUUCGCCCAGAGACAGAUAUUUUAUUUCUCUCUUACGGUUUUAUGUGUGAGAGAUGUCAAAAAGGUAAAAUAGAUUGCUAAUGCAUAGGCAAAACGAAGCUGUUUUGGCAUGCUCGGUGUCAGGAGGGCUCCCGGGGAGCGCGGGCUGGGGAUUUAGGGCUGAUGGGGGACUCGGGGGGAUUCUGCUAAAACAUCUCUCUCCAUAAAUCCAGCCGCAUGGUCAGCGCGAGCGGCAGCAGGAAUUUUAAAGGGGCAGAGUUGGAGCGCGGCGGAGCGGAGCGCGAUCCCGGCCGGGGUCCCGGGGGGUGCCGGGGGUCGCAGCCGCCGCUCCCUUCGCUUCUCCUCCCGGCACUGGGGACCGGCCGAGCCUCUGCCCGGAGCCACAGCAUCCAAGCCCGAUAUUAUUUCAUUAUUUCAUUUUUUUUUUUUCCCCAAACAAGCACCCAUCCCCCGAGCAUCGGUCCCACUCCCGGAGCUGCGGCUGCUCCGCAUCUGCCUCCCCGACCCGGCAGCGGAUCUACGCGGACCUUUCCCAAAGUUAAAAUAUAUCUCCCCAAGCUGCAACAAUUUUCAUACUUUUUGACCUCGGGGAUUUACUUAGCACGUUAAGUUCAAGGCUCAGAAGCCCAGGGCUAUUACUCAUUUAGGCACUCCCACCACCAACACUUUUCACCACAUAUUUUAUCAUUUGACUUCCCGGCUUAAAUUCAUGUUAUGGCAAAUAAUGGAUGGUAAUACUUUCCCCCUUCCCCAUGUUAAUUGUCUGGUCUGACAGCCUCCGCAUUUGAAGUGAUUUAAAGCAAACAAGGGUGCAGAGAGCGGAGACAGCCCCGCACAAAACCUCUGCGGGAGCCCCGCGGCUCCGGGCUGGACCCCGAGCACGGCAAAUCCUCCCCCAGAGCAUCGCCCAGCGCUCGCUGCAGCUUCUGCCGAGCACCCGCGGGGGUCUCACCCCUGCCUCGGGCCCCUCCGGCUUGGCUGCCCAAAAUUAUUCCUUCCUUGGGGUGCCUGAAAUGGGGAGUCGGACCAGAGCGCUGAUUGCAAAUUGAAAAAAAAGCGAGGUGUGCUUGAUUAGGAAAUUAAUUAUUUCAGCACCCGCAGGAUUAUAUUGUUUUUCUAAGUUCUGUGCGCCUUAAUUUACCGAUUUCACAGUGGCUGAACUUCCCCGGGAGUGAGAGCCGAUCUCCCCUGCGCGACUCGCGGCUCCUGCGCAGGGGCGGAGGGGAUCGGGAGCCCGGAGCAUCCCCGCUGCUCCUGCCGCUGACCCGGGCCCAAUUCCUGAUUUCUGCUCUUUCUGGGAGCGGGCAGUGCCUUCCUUCCCAGCAGAGCAGUCCCUCAGGUAUCUCUGCCUGAGAGCAGAAGGGGCUGCAGCAUCACCCGUCCUUCCCCAGGGGCUGCAGGAGAGGGGUCUCGGCUCACGAGGGUUUUUGUCAUCAGCGGAAUGUCAGAUUUUGGUGCUGACAUCACUGCCGUGCAGGACGUUUGGGGAAAAAUAACCGGAAUCCAAACAGACAGGACAGACAGAAAAACGGAGAUGCAGAGCUGGGUUCAGCAUCACCUGGGGCAGGUACCACGGCAGCAGGGUCCCCUCAGGAGUGAAUCCAGAGCUCCUGGCUGUGUUUGUGUCUGCCAGCUCAGCCCUGGCUAAUCCUGUCCAUGGAUGUGUUAUUUGUUACGGUGCUACAUCGUGUCCUAUUCACACGAUUUUCUGUUUUAAAGGAUCUCAGAGGCCGUGGAGGCUCUGGCCAGCCUGGCCUCCCUUCUCCCCACACUCCAGCCCUGGAGCUGGGUGAGAGCCCAGCAAAGUCCCUGACUCCUGGGUGCCUCCCCAGGCACAUUUUGAGUCUCUGUUUCCUUCCCUUCACUCCCGAGCGACGCUCCAAGCGUGGCUGAUGUGCACAGAGCUCCUCUCACUGCCACGCUGGGGACGUGGCACACACAGCCACCAUCCCACCACCCCGAGAUGCAUCAGUACAGUGUGUUCAGGAUGAAAAAAACCCAAUUAUUUUGGUCUGGAAUGUGAAAUUUUGCUAGUUCCAGCUGAUUUUUCCAGGGGUUGAGCUCCAUCCCCAUGUGGAUCCUGCUGGAGGGCAGAGUCACGCUGGCAACACCAAGGGCCGACCCUCCAUGCUCAGAAGCACUUUAAAAAACAAAUAUUAUUCUAAAAAAUUGUCAUUUUUGUGGCUGGGUCAUUGGGUUCUGGGCCCAGGAGCUCUGUGCCAGCCCAGCCCUCAGGGUGCUCCUCUCCUCUCUCCGAGCAUCACCAAGAAAGCACCGGAGAUUUCCCCUGCAAACAAAUAAACCCUGUUUCCCCAACCCCUGGCGAACAGAUUCCCUCCCUCCUGCCCGAGAAAUGUCCCCAUUUUCACCGAGAACAAGCGCAGGAGCUGGGAAGUCUGCGCUGGUGGUGUCGCCUACGUGUGAGCAGGGAAACUUCCACCUCAGGAACUGUGAGUCUGCACAAUUCCCUGCCAGUGUGGCUUUUUCAGCCCUUGGAAUAAAAUCUACAUGGCUGUAAUUAGUCAAUAUUUGUAAAGCCUCUAAGAUUGCAGAAUAAAUGGGGAGAAAUUCGCAUGGUUAUUAGAUAAAUGCAUUAAUAACAGCGGCCCUGGCUGCUGAGGAGACGCCGCUCCUAAUGAUGUACAAUUUAUUUCCUUAAGGGUGUGCUAAUAAACAAAACUGCUUUUUA